GGGUAUUUAUAUUUAUUUAUUUAUUAUUCUUGAUUUCUAUAUCAUUAGUUUCUGCUGUGAUCUUAAUUGUUCUUUUCUAUUUACCAACUUCAGGUUUUCCUGUUCUUCUUCUUCUAGGCCCUAAGGUAUACCAUUAAGUUAUUUUUUUCAGAUUUCUCUGAGUUUUGAAUGCAGGCAUCUAUAGGUUUAAGUUUCUUCUUAGGACUCUUUUCAGUUCUCUUUAGGUUUGAUACUUUGUAUUUUCAGUUUCAUUGAAUUAUUGGACUAAAAAGUCUUCUUCUUGAUUUGUUGAAUGAAUUAUUAAUUAAAUAGUGUAUUGUUCAAAGCAUGUGUUUGUGUUCUAUGGUUUCUCUUGCUGUGUGCUUCAGGUUAUAUCUCAUUGUUAUGAGAUAAAAUAUAAGAAUUUUCUUCAUGAUCUUUACAUUUAUUAGGCUUGGCUUUGUGUUCUACUGUAUAGCCUCACUAGGGAAAGUUCCAUGUACUGCUUAUACUGUUUGUUCUAAGCAUUCAGAUGAGAUGAUGUACAAACAUAUGUUCAGUUGUUUGAUCUAUGAUGUCAUUUAACUUAUGUUUCUCUAUAGGAAUGAUGAGCCAUCUAUUGACGAGAAUGGGGUAUUAAAGUUGUUUGGAUUAAUAUGUGUCUUUUCAUCUAGUUUUGUUUUAUGAACUCAUGUGUGCCAGCAUUCAUUGAACAUUUGUUUACAACUGAAAAAGCCUCUUGCUGGAUUGUUCCCUUAGUCAGUAUGAGUUACUUUAAGACUAAUUUUGGUUUGAAGUCUAUUUUGACACAUGUGAACAGUGACCAAUGCUUGCUUUAUUAUUCUAUUAGCUUAGAAUUCUUUUCCCAGGUUUUGUUUUUUGUUUUUUUUCCCCUUGAGGUUGUAUUUUUCUAAUUGUCUUUGAUGGUGAGGUACAUUUCUUUUGGAGGUAACACAUUGAUGGAUUCUCAUUUUAAACAAACAACUGCUAGUGCAUUUAGUGUUUAGGGAAUGAAGACCAUGUACAUUCAGCAUUAUUACUGAAAGGUGCAAAUGAACUUCAGUCAUUUUGUUGGUUUGGUAAAGUUUGUUUGUUUUUUUGUUUUUUUGUUUUUAAUAAUCCUCAUAUGAUUAACCACUGUCCUAUCACAGUUUCUUAUUUCUUUUCCUUUUUCUUGUUGCCUCAUGGAUGUGAAUAUUUUUCAUUUUGCUUUGAAAGAGUUCUUUUUUUUUAAAAAUAUUUUCUUUAUUUACAUUUCAAAUGUUAUCCCCUUUCCUAGUUUCCCUUCCAAAAAUCCCUUAUUCUCCCCCUCCCCCAGCCCCCUGCUUCCAAACCUACCCACUCCUGCUUCCUGGCCCAGGCAUUCCCCUAUACUGGGACAUAGAACCUUCACAGGACUAAGUGAAAGAGCUCUUUACCAAUUUAGGGCUUCCUUAGUAGCCACAGUUUCCUAGUUUCUAUUUAUCAUGGAAAGUAUUUUUUUUUAAUUUUUCAGUUGUUAUGGGUAGUUUUGUAGAAUAUAGUAAUUUGAGUUUACUGAUUUUAUCUUUAAUAGUUCGAAACAUAUCGCCCCAAGCCAAACAUGUUGUUCAUGUUUGAUCCUUUAGUUGCAACCUCAAAUCUCACAUUCUGUUUGUAGCUUCCCCUUUACUAUCUUUGUAAUUAUCUGAAUGUUCCAUUUCACUGCCUUGUCUUCAAACUCUAAAAGUUCCUCUUCUUGAUCCACUCUGUUAGGCUUUCCAAAAGAAACUUCAUUGGAAUUUUUGAAUUUUUCAUUUCCAUUUCAGCAUAUUUUUCUCAGUAAGUCUAUUCCCCCCUGAAGUUUACGUUUAUAUAUUUACAUAUUCUUUCCUUAUUUCACUCAUAUGUUCUCUUUGUAUUCUUUCAUGUGUUAUGCCCUGUUAGAUUUCAUUGAACAUACUUGAAACAAUUUUUCUUUUGAAUUCUUUGUCUGGAGUUUUCUUGAAUUCAUUCUCAUUGGACAACACUACUAUGGGAUCAAUAAUGUUUUUAGGAGUAUUAAUACUUUGAAUUUUCUUGUAAUUAGGUUUUCCUUUGCAUGUACCCAUUGAGAAAAAUUGUUUGUGAGAUUUAAAAAGAUCAACCUUAUUAUUUGAGUGGACAUAUUUUCAGUGUUCCUGAAGGACUGGGUCUACCUGACAUAAUGCUUCUCGUCUUGCUAAGGAUAUACUUCAAUUAUUAAAUCCUUAGCCCAUGUGCUUGUUGCACCAGUACCCAGUACUCCCCUUUGUGAAAAUACAAUAUAAGGCAAUUAAAGAGAAAUUGUUCUUUCAACUGAAUCAUUUUAAGAAAAGAAGUAACACUCAUAAUAGUGUAUUCACUACAUAUUAGAGUGCAGGGAGAAAAGCUGAGUAAGACUAAUGAUUAGUAUGGAGUGAUAGAAAGAUACACCAGGGAAGCUACAAGAAGGACAAUUAGGGGAAAUGAGACAUCUCAGGAGGAUGGUAACAUGAGAAGAGAAAGAUGUAAAGAAUGGCAGUCAGAGGUUGGCCAAGCAACCUCAACAUCCCAAACUCAUAAAUUUGAGGUACAGAGACUCCUUCCCUCCAACCAGAGAAACUUUAUCUUUUGAAAAAGCCUAUCAAAAGGGGUAUUAGAAAAAAACAGACAGG
rnacentral:lncRNA from 1 species